rnacentral:rRNA from 1 species
UGGGGAAUCUUGCGCAAUGGGCGAAAGCCUGACGCAGCGACGCCGCGUGAGCGAUGAAGGCCCUCGGGUUGUAAAGCUCUGUGGGGAGAGACGAAUAAGGUGAAGCUAACACCUUCAUUGAUGACGGUAUCUCUUUAGCAAGCACCGGCUAACUCUGUGCCAGCAGCCGCGGUAAGACAGAGGGUGCAAACGUUGUUCGGAAUUACUGGGCGUAAAGCGCGUGUAGGUGGUCUCGCAAGUCGGAUGUGAAAUCCCAGGGCUCAACCCUGGAAGAGCACCCGAAACUGCAAGACUGGAGUCCUGGAGAGGAAGGUGGAAUGCUUGGUGUAGAGGUGAAAUUCGUAGAUAUCAAGCGGAACACCAGUGGCGAAGGCGGCCUUCUGGACAGUGACUGACACUGAGACGCGAAAGCGUGGGGAGCAAACAGG